GAUGGAUAGGGGUUCUGAGAGGAAGGUCCCCCACAUUGGAACUGAGACACGGUCCAAACUCCUACGAGAGGCAGCAGUGAGGAAUAUUGGUCAAUGGACGAGAGUCUGAACCAGCCAAGUAGCGUGAAGGAUGACUGCCCUAUGGGUUGUAAACUUCUUUUAUAUGGGAAUAAAACAGGGUAUGCAUACCCUCUUGUAUGUACCAUAUGAAUAAGGAUCGGCUAACUCCGUGCCAGCAGCCGCGGUAAUACGGAGGAUCCGAGCGUUAUCCGGAUUUAUUGGGUUUAAAGGGAGCGUAGGUGGAUUGUUAAGUCAGUUGUGAAAGUUUGCGGCUCAACCGUAAAAUUGCAGUUGAAACUGGCAGUCUUGAGUACAGUAGAGGUGGGCGGAAUUCGUGGUGUAGCGGUGAAAUGCUUAGAUAUCACGAAGAACUCCGAUUGCGAAGGCAGCUCACUAGACUGCAACUGACACUGAUGCUCGAAAGUGUGGGUAUCAAACAGGAUUAGAUACCCUGGUAGUCCACACAGUAAACGAUGAAUACUCGCUGUUUGCGAUAUAC
rnacentral:rRNA from 1 species